AAUUCGUACGAGCAACAGGAGACGAACCUCUUUUAUUUUGGCGUUUCUUAUCGGGCGGAACGAAAUUAAUUUCCUGUGCCGCGUGUGUUUCGAAGGGACGCGAACACCACCGAUUGGAAUGAGCAUCAUUUAUGAGCGACGGCCUAUUUAAGUGUGCAAGCAUGAUGAGUUGUGGGUAUAAAAAUCGUUCCCCGUUCAAGUGGAUGUGCCGAUGAGCGCGCAGGGCUAAGGGUGCAGCGCGGGACUGUAAGAAACUUUUGCCAGUUUCAAGUGUCCCAUCCACGCCAGGCUGAAGAGGCUGCCCCCCCCCCCCCCCACCAAGACCAAUCGUCGUCAAUCAUCAGCAACUUCAGCUCAAAUGGGCCAUUUUGAGAGUAGAAAAAGCGGCGGCGGCGGCACACCGGUUGGUAAAGUACUGGCGCAAAGUGUGUGUGUGUGUGUCACAUUCUUGCCCCACUUAACAAAGAGAGAGAGAGAGAGAGAGACAACAGUUGGAAAAAUAUUUAAACUUUGGUCGUAAAUUUUCAUAAACAUUCCAACGACGACGAGUCGCCAUACACGGGCGAGAGAAGGGGAAGGAAAAUCGUUGUAAUAUAGGUACGAGAAACAACAAUGAAGCUUAAUGGAUAUAAAUGGCACACAGAAA